GGCCCCAGGGAAGAACAUUUUCUGGCUUCUUCUAUCCAGUUACCCAACUCCAGCUCUCAGAGAAUCUCAAAUUUUGAUUUGUUUUGGGAGGUGGGGAGAAAGUACCACGGCGGUGGGGAAGCAGAUGCUCAGCUGGGGUGGGGGCGAGUGUACUGCUCUGACCCUGAGGGCGGCAAUGCUUGAAGAGCAGAGGUCUUCCCAUUUUGUUUUGGAUGCUCCACCCCCCCUCACCUAUGGGGACCCACACAGAAUCUGCCUAGAGAAAGUAUCUUGUUUGGAUCCUGCUGGCUAUUUUUAGCUAGUAUUUUUAGCAUUUAAAAAUACUCUGAGAAGCAGCAGCGUGUGCUGUUACUCAUCUGUGGCCUCCUUCUGUUCCUCUCCGCGUGCUCAUCCCCACAUGUACACGCGCACUGCACACACGACCACAGCCACAUGGGGGGAUGUAUCCAGGACACAUGUAUGGAGGGGAUGAAGCUACUUGAUGGCACACUCUUUCGAGCCAGUCCUACAGUGUCUGCAGGAAUGCGUGCAUUUAAUGACGCCACACCUCUGCCCCCAAACACCUGGAGCACCUGACUCUUGCAUCCAGUCCAGAAGCUGAGUUUCCCCGUCUUGGGAGGUGCAACUGCAUUCUGUGCACAGAGCCCUCUGCUUCCGGAAAGGACAUGUGAGCCCAGCGACCAUGAUCCCACCAAAAGGCACUGAACACCUCUGGACCAGGCACCGUCAUCCUGAGCGCAUCACAAGCAGCUUCUCCUGGGUCAUGCAGCCUCCCCAGAGCACUGGGCUGGCCCUCACCUGGCCCUCAUCGCUCGCCUGCUGCUCUUGCAAGUGCACUUCCUGCUCAGCGUCCCCAGAGCCUCCGUGCAGUUUUAGGUUUUGAUUCUUUUGGAGAAAGAAUUUAAACUCACAAGCCUCAUAUGAAGGCUUCACGUAAAUCAUGAUUUACAUUAAAUCAAAGUUAGUAUUUUUAUUGAAAAUUCAACAACCAGACAAGGAAUUAAAUCAUGAAACUUUUCAGUGAAGCAGUUAGCAUUCCUACUUCUGAAGUAACUGCAUAAAGACUUCUGGGACACCACGUAUUAAUGUGCUAAUCCUCACGAUGGCCCCCAGCGGUGGGUGGCAUCGUUAUGCCCACUUGCUGAUGAGGAAACCAGCGUUGGUGGAAGUGACGUGGAUCCCUCAAGGUCAUGCCGCAAGCAGUGGCAGCACUGGGCUGGCACCUGUGCUCUGUCCCCUAACAGCCACCCUGAAGCCACCGCCCCCACUUGGCACUUCUCUCACCUCCCCCACCCCCUGCGCUGGCACAGGGUAGGACCUGUGGCAUGGGGUCCAGGCAACGCAGGCAUCCACUGUCUAGGCAACAGCAUGGCAGGUACAGACUCCUACAGGAGGCUGCCCUUUGAGUUUCCACUGCAGGCAAAUGAAAGCGAAGCCAAGUGCAACCUGAGCGCCAGGACAAUUCUGAUCGGCCAAGAGAUGGUCCAGGAGGCCUCCAUUUCACCCGCAGUGCCAAGCUCCUGAGUGUCCCCUGGUACUGGCAUUUAGUCCCAGCCAGGGCCCUUGGCCCAAGGCCUGGUUAUGGACAUGCCCCUCAGCCUCCUACCCUUGCUGCAGCUUGGCCCACUCCCCAAAGUACCCAGGCUAGAUGAGUCAGGGGUUAAAAUGAGCCCUGUGUCCCUGGGGCAGCCAACCCCCAUGCGUCAGCCACUGUCAUUUCCUGUUGCUCACGUGAAGUGCUCCCUAACCUGCCCAGCCAGGGGAGGGACUUGCUCCCCAGGAAUCCCAGGCACUCCUGGCCCCCAGGGUAGGGGAUGGGUAGUGCCCCACAUCCCAGCAGCCUUCAUGGCCCCUCUCUGCCCAGAUCCACUCUGCUUUCUAGGGUGGAGGUAUGCCAGCUUCUGUGGCCUUGCCUCUCCCUGAAUAGAAAGCCCCUAGCUUGGUUUCAGGGGUAGGCCUCAAUAGAGUUCAGUCCUUCCCUCCUAGGGACCAGGUGUCCAGGACAGGUGAGUGGGGAGUCCCAGCCAGUCCUGCCAGGUGCUUGUGACCUCAGAGCUUUCCAAAGCUACUUGCUAACACCAUUGGAAUGAGGCACUGCUGAUGUGCUGACCUUGAAAGGUAAAGAGGGCUGAGAGAGGGGUCCUAUCUCCCUUCAUUUACACUCUGACUCCCACUCUUAUCUGUUUGGGCACUAUCUGGGCAUAAGCAUCAACUCCUAGGUUGUGGGAUGUCCUGGCUGUGGCAGAUGCAGGUUGGGUGGAGGGCCCAGGUGGGGGCUCUGUGUAUACCCUCAGUCCCCAGCGGCUCUAGUCUGCCCAGCCUGUCACUAGUAGCUCUCCUCUCUCAGCGCCUUGUGCCUUGUGCCGAGCUAGCCACCCACCAGUUGAGUGCCUAAUCCUCUUACAUGCCUUGGCAGGGGGUCGUUCAAGGGAAUUUGGAUCCAUCUCUUUCUUGCUCCCAAUAGUUGCCCAAGGGCUGGGAGAGGAGUGAAGGGAUGAGAGAGAUUGGAGAUGAGGGCAAGGGUCCUAACUGGUGGAGAAGGGAGUAGGCCCAGGGUACUAUCUCUAUAGCAUGCCUUUUGAUUUGAGGCUGGGGGGUGGGGGAUGAGGGGUAGGCAUCUCUACACUUCCAAGAAAAGGCAAAGGAACGGGCCCUGUCGGGAGCUCUCCUGGUGCCCCUUCCACAGGCAGAGUCCCCGUCUCCCUCCCUUUCCUCUUGGGCUUGCCUUUGCCCUGUUCUCCCUGCCUCUGCCUGCCCCCUCUGAGCCUGAGCCUUCCAUCUUGCCCCAGGCACCCUCCAGGCCCUGUUGGGCAGCCUCUCACAUGCUCCCCCAAACACAAAGGGCUCCCUGGACAGCGGCCCCAUGAAGCUCACAUACUACACGGGCAGCUACUGACCUGUGUCCGGGGGCACUGGGCAGGAUCUGGGGGCUUCUCCUUCCCCAGCAAGGCAGGGAGCGCGGUAGAGAGCCCAGAGGCUGAAGUCUGACUGGGGCUGGGUAAUCCGGAGCUCAGGUUACGGACUCCGAUAUAUAUAGUAUCUUAUCUGACCUCACAGAGAUGGCUAGCUCAACUCACUUGCAUUCCAGGCCAGGGGAGAAUUAAAGGGGCAGUGGCCAGCCCUCCCUCGAGGUGUUGCCCCAGUGGGCCACUGCCAGGCAAGGAGAUCGUGGGAGGGCUCUUUGGAGGGGGGCAUUUUGAAGUGGAACAGAAGAGGGAUCCAAGGGGAGACGAAUGAAAAGAGGGUAGAGGGAUGGGGAUGGAAUGGAGAGGAAAGGAGAGGAGGAAGCCUCGGUGCUGGUGCAAAUCCUCCCUUUUGAGGUAGAGACCUAGAGAUCCGGGGUGCACAGGUAGUGACAGGCGGGACCUGCUCUCAGGCAUUCGGUUCCAAAUUCUUUUAUAAUGGACUUCUUUCUAGGCCUGGGCUUGUAUUCCAGUUCUUUCCCUUUUAUUGGCUGAGACAGUGGGCAAGUCAUGUAAGCUGUCUGGACCUUAGUGAUUUGAUCUGUAAAACAGGAGUAAAGAGUAUAAUAAUGCUAUAUAUCUCACCAUUGUGAGAAUUAAAUAAUAUUUGUAAAUUUCCUGGCACAUGGUAAAAUUUCAAUAAAUGAUAGUAAUGAUUAUGCUGAAUACUUCCACUAAUUGUUACAAUUAAUGGGAGUAUUUGUAGUUGCACCUGCCACGGAAGCCUUCCUAGGGAGAAUAGGGCCUCUGGGCCACCCCUUGGGAGUGCUCAGUUCUAACACUAGACAAUAGCCCCGUGGUUUUCUGAGCUGCUCCAUGUCCCAUAACUGGCAAGGGCCAAUGACUCUUGCUAUAUUCCCAGAUGUCCAGCCCAUCCAGUGGAGAAGAGCCAGGUCGAUUACGGCCCUUUCCCCCUUUGCCUAGAAAAAUAAAGCAAGUGCAGCUGCCCCGAGGCUACCAGGAGAAAGCUGCUCUGGGGUGGUUCCACUCUACCUGUCGGAGUGCUCAGGAUUCCAAGGCCACAGAGCUGGGCUGGGCAGGCUCACAGGAGGAUGGAGCAGGAUUCUUUCUUAACCUCUUGGGCCUUGGUGCUCUUGUCUGCUCCCAGUCUGUGUCUCCUGUUUCUCGAUGGCUCUCCCUGAGGACUGGGAGUACCCAGGAUGGUGCCUCCACCCUGUCUCAGCAGAGGCUACUGACUCAGCUUGGGUCCUGGUGAUGCACUUCAGAGGACGCCCUCGUCCCUGGCCCUCAUUCCAAUCGUCAUUCCGACUCCAGUUUGGCACGUAUCUACAGUAUCAGAGGAGUGGGGGAUGCCCCAACCCAGCCUAACCAGCUUUCCUCUCCUCCACUUUGCGGGUUUGGACUCGGGGACCUUCUCAUGCCCAUGCCUGGGGAGGUGGACAUCACCACCAUCUCCAGCUCAGCCCCAUUCUAAAAGCUGCCAGAUGAGGAGGUAGACGUUCACUCGUGGGGGGUGGGGGGGUCCCACCUAGAAUGGCUUGGCCAGGGCUUCCCGUGGCUAAGUGUAAGUUACUCGCCCUGGAGCACCGCGUGCCUGCUUCUGGUUUGGGAUUGGUGAGAAUUUCAAAGAUGCCUCUCUCUGGUUUGGGAUUGGUGGAAAAUCUCCCCCUCCACUUAACUGCUGCCCUCCCCCCACCCCCACCCCUUUGGCAAACUGACCAGAGAGAGCCCGCCGGAGCUUGAACUGGGCGCACACGUGGGGAAGGGGUUGUCAGCGACCAGGCGUCACUCUCAGGCCAUACACCACACGGGGCACAGAGCCCCGGACCUGCCCAAGCAGGGUUUCCUUAGAACACAGUGAUCAGCACACAGAUGGCUCUUCCUGGCACCCCGGGCUGUCAGCUGGCAGCCCCCCCCCAACUGGCGCCCACAGCUGGAGCUCCUCCGCACAGCGGGCGCUCGCCCUACAUAGCUGGUGCCCAUUCCACCCAGGCUGUCGUUGACACCUCACUUUCUGAGCCUCCGACCGCGCUGACCUCCGCAUCCCUCCUCCCCGGUCUCCGACAGGUGGCACAUACCUGCCUCUUCUCCGAGGAUGGACGAGUGGGGCCGGGCGCAGGCAUGGAGCUGCGGGUGAGUCCCGGCUGGUGCUGGCGCGGCGCAGUGAGCAGCGGCUGACGCAGAGGGCUCCCCGGCCUCGCUCCUGCCCGCCUCUCCCCCACCUCCGCCGGGGCCGGGUGAGGACCUCCCCGGGAAAUCGGCGCCACCCAGCGGGCAGCCGCCUCAUUGCGCCCCGGCCGGCAGAGCCCCACCGCGCGUCUCGCGUCACUGAGACGCGUCACGGCGAUUGGCUUGUUCCCAGUGUGACGUCAGGGGAGCCCCGCCCGGCCGGCGUCUCCCAGGCGACGGCACACUCUGCUCAUUUUGCUAACAUGGAACCGGUGAUUGGUGAUGAUUGCUGAUGGCUCCCUGAGGGGGUAAACAGAGGCACUUAGCGGAAGGGAGUCUUUUUACUUUUUCAAGAAAAGGCCGAGACAGAACUUCGCCUGCCCCCAUUCGUUUGUGUCUUCAUGGUGUUGAAGAAAAUCGCGCAGCCAGGAUAUGUGUACUAUUAUCUCCAUUUUAUAAAAGAGGAUACUGAAGUGCAGAGAAGCUCAUUAACUGGUGUGUUCUCAUCUCGCAUCAUGGCCAGCAGGAUGGUGUGUACGCUCAAUAAGACUAUUGAAGAGAAAAAGACCACAUUUGCAUACUUUUUACUCCCGCAUAUUAUAAAAUGCACUGUUCUAGACGCCCCUGCUUCGGAGGUCGACUGUCGAAAAGUGUGUAUGACACAGUAUGUGCUUCCAGGCCAGUCUGGUGCCUGUUUCUGGAGGGAUUCCAGAGGCCCUGUCAUUAUUUCUGGGCUGAAGAAGUUGCCCAAUCUGCCUUCCCCUUCCAGCUCUAGGCCCAGGCGACGGUGAGGUGUAGGGGCCAGGCAGCCAGCUUUAUGGCCACUGGCAACCGGGUGGAUUUGGCGAGACCCCGGGGAAUCUUUCAGAGCCCUGGCAGAGGGGAGGGCUUCCACCACCUGCCUGCUCCCUGCUCUCACCCAUGGGACCUGUCCCACUGUUCCCAGGCACCCUUGUGCACCAGGGUCUGUCCAGCCCUGACCAUUGUCUGCAGUCAGAGAGCCCUUCUUUUUCUCCUUGGGAGGUGAGGCAAGCUAAGGCUUCCUAGCCCUGCCUUCCUGCUGCUUCUCACCAACGACAUGUAGAGGUGUGAGCAAGGACCCUGGACUCAGAUCAGGACCCGAUCCUGGCUCUGCCAUUUGCCAGCUGGGUGAUCUUGGCCAAGUGCUGAACCUGUUUGUCACCUGUCCAACGGGAGAGACGUGUCUGCAGGUGCUGGCGGUGUCCCUGAGGCAACAGUGGAAGCACCAGGGAAGGAGCCAGGAGCCCUGCUGUCCCCUCGCUGACCUCCAGGCCCCUGCACCUGUCACAGCUCUCUUCCCAGAGCAUCUGGGCUCCGUGGUUCCCUCCUGCUGGGGAGGCUGCCCUCCACGUGGGCACAGAGGCUGCCCUGGGCCUGGAGCGCCGGCUGCCACUGCCCCUCUCCCUGCCAGCCUGGGCCUGGAGCUGCUGCCCUGCCCAGCUGCCUGCCUGGCACAGAGGAGCUCGCCGGACCCUCUGGGGCAGCGGCGGGAGUGGGAGGAAUUGGAAAGAAACCAUCCAUGGACACUCUGCUCACUGCCCCACGCAGACGUACUUGACCGGGAGCUGCGGACUCAGACAAACCUGGGGCAGCUUCCAAGCCGGCUGGUUGCUUUCUGUUACCUUCAGGGGCCUGUCUGGAGUCUCUGAGCGAGCGAGAGAGCGAGCGAGAGAGUGAGCGAGAGAGCAAGCGGCUAUCCUUGAGCCCCUGAGAGAGCUGGAUGACCUCACAGGCCCCUCGCUGCCCCCCAGCUCUCCACAUGACAGCCGCCUCUGUCUUUGUGCUGGGGCCAGAGGAAUGCAGGCCAGGCCAGGCCCCCAGAGGCCCUUCCUCUCUGGUCUGGCUUUUGAUCUGAGAGCCAUGCAGCUUCCAGAGCCACGAAGGAGACUCUUGGAUCAGAGAGACACAGAGAGAGAGAAGCAGAGACACAGGCAGAGGGAGAAGCAGGUUCCAUGCAGGAAGCCUGAUGUGGGACUCGAUCCGAUCCCGGGACUCCAGGACCACGCCCUGGGACGAAGGCAGGUGCCAAACUGCUGAGCCACCCAGGGAUCCCAGGAAGACACUUAGAAUCAAAUCCUGAGUUGAGUGGCAGGAGGGAGGAGGAGACCCGUUCUGCCUUCGUUUGCUGUAUUUUCCAGAGAACAAUCUGGGGAGUCGCUAAUCCUGCCCACAUCACAUUAACACCAAUAAACCACCCUGAGGA